rnacentral:rRNA from 1 species
CAAUAGCGUAUAUUUAAGUUGUUGCAGUUAAAAAGCUCGUAGUUGGAUUUCGGAUGGGAUUUGCCGGUCCGUCGUUACGAUGUGCACUGGCCAGACCUAUCUUGUUGUCGGGGACUAGCUCCUUGGAUUCACUUCCUGGGACUAGGAGCUGACGAGGUUACUUUGAGUAAAUUAGAGUGUUCAAAGCAAGCCUACGCUCUGAAUACAUUAGCAUGGAAUAACACGAUAGGACUCUGGCUUAUCUUGUUGGUCUGUGAGACCAGAGUAAUGAUUAAGAGGGACAGUCGGGGACAUUCGUAUUUCAUUGUCAGAGGUGAAAUUCUUGGAUUUAUGAAAGACGAACUUCUGCGAAAGCAUUUGUCAAGGAUGUUUUCAUUA